UACGUAGGGUGCAAGCGUUAUCCGGAAUUAUUGGGCGUAAAGAGCUCGUAGGCGGCUUGUCGCGUCUGCUGUGAAAACUGGGGGCUCAACCCCCAGCCUGCAGUGGGUACGGGCAGACUAGAGUGCGGUAGGGGAGAUUGGAAUUCCUGGUGUAGCGGUGGAAUGCGCAGAUAUCAGGAAGAACACCGAUGGCGAAGGCAGAUCUCUGGGCCGUAACUGACGCUGAGGAGCGAAAGCAUGGGGAGCGAACAGG
rnacentral:rRNA from 1 species